GGCCAUACCUAUUAAAAAUACAGUUGUAUUAUCAAAGAUACAUCAGACAUAUAGAGUUGGUUUUUUGAAGGAUGUUGUUUUGGCUAGAGUAUUGGAUGAGGCUACUGUUGCAAAUCUUAACUCCAUGAUACAUGCAAACAAUGCCAUUGUUGUUUCUUUAUUGAAGGAUGACAAUACAUUUAUCCAGGAGUUGUUUGCUAGGUUAAAAUCGCUC